rnacentral:rRNA from 1 species
CUGAAGAGUUUGAUCAUGGCUCAGAUUGAACGCUGGCGGCAGGCCUAACACAUGCAAGUCGAGCGGAUGAAGGGAGCUUGCUCCUGGAUUCAGCGGCGGACGGGUGAGUAAUGCCUAGGAAUCUGCCUGGUAGUGGGGGAUAACGUCCGGAAACGGGCGCUAAUACCGCAUACGUCCUGAGGGAGAAAGUGGGGGAUCUUCGGACCUCACGCUAUCAGAUGAGCCUAGGUCGGAUUAGCUAGUUGGUGGGGUAAAGGCCUACCAAGGCGACGAUCCGUAACUGGUCUGAGAGGAUGAUCAGUCACACUGGAACUGAGACACGGUCCAGACUCCUACGGGAGGCAGCAGUGGGGAAUAUUGGACAAUGGGCGAAAGCCUGAUCCAGCCAUGCCGCGUGUGUGAAGAAGGUCUUCGGAUUGUAAAGCACUUUAAGUUGGGAGGAAGGGCAGUAAGUUAAUACCUUGCUGUUUUGACGUUACCAACAGAAUAAGCACCGGCUAACUUCGUGCCAGCAGCCGCGGUAAUACGAAGGGUGCAAGCGUUAAUCGGAAUUACUGGGCGUAAAGCGCGCGUAGGUGGUUCAGCAAGUUGGAUGUGAAAUCCCCGGGCUCAACCUGGGAACUGCAUCCAAAACUACUGAGCUAGAGUACGGUAGAGGGUGGUGGAAUUUCCUGUGUAGCGGUGAAAUGCGUAGAUAUAGGAAGGAACACCAGUGGCGAAGGCGACCACCUGGACUGAUACUGACACUGAGGUGCGAAAGCGUGGGGAGCAAACAGGAUUAGAUACCCUGGUAGUCCACGCCGUAAACGAUGUCGACUAGCCGUUGGGAUCCUUGAGAUCUUAGUGGCGCAGCUAACGCGAUAAGUCGACCGCCUGGGGAGUACGGCCGCAAGGUUAAAACUCAAAUGAAUUGACGGGGGCCCGCACAAGCGGUGGAGCAUGUGGUUUAA